rnacentral:rRNA from 1 species
AUGCAGGGGAAGCAGGGCAGCGCUGGUGCGGGAGGCGAUGGGACUUGCUCCGGUGGGGUUAGCAGGUCGGGAGGCGCGGGGAGGACCGGGAACGGAGGAGAUGACCGGAGAUGGCAAGGACGAGGGCGAAAACAGGGUUUCCUCGGGGCUGGGCCUCUUGGGUGGCCAUGGCUGCUUGCGGUCGUCCGGACCUGCACAACACGGCGGCGACAGCAGGGUCAGCAGGUCCGGAGAGCAGAGAAAAGGCAGGGCGGCAUGGACCUCCUGCUGGUCUUCGGAAGGAUCUCGUCUCCCUGCGUCGACGAAGAGAGCGGGGAGGCUGCAGAGACGAAUGAUGAUGGCGCGAGGUGGUGCGGCAGCAAGGUCGCAAGGUUGGAGGAGCUCGGGCCUCUUGGGUGCACUCCAGAAGGUGGAUCGAGUGUGGCUGCAUUGGGAGGCUCCGGUCGAUGGUGGUAG